rnacentral:misc_RNA from 1 species
CCGUUCCUCUCCGCCCUUCCCUCCUACCGCGAGGGUCUGUGUCAUUCCUUUUCAACCUCAGCCGCCACUUUUUCUUCGUCGGCCGCAUGCAGCAUCAAGAGGACUACGCAUCUAACGCCUCCAAGGAUGAUCAAUACUUUGAGAGCUACGCGGACCUCAGCGUCCACAAGGUGAUGCUUCGCGAUCGUCCGCGCAUGGACUUCUACAAGGCCCUCCUCACUGACAGGUCUGUUAUUGAGGGCAAGGUGGUGGUGGAUGUGGGCUCCGGCUCAGGCAUCUUGUCCUGCUGGGCAGCCCAAUCAGGUGCCGCGCACGUAUUCUCUCUUGAGGCGUCGUCCAUCGCGAAACUGCAACAGCGCGUUUUUGCCGACAACGGCCUGUCUGGCCGCGUCACCGUCAUCGCAUCCACGGUCGAGAAACUUGUCGCUGCCGGCGUCGAGGCAUUUCUGAACGAACACCCAUGCGUUCGCCUCCACGGCGGCGUCGCGCUUGUAGUAUCGGAGUGGAUGGGCUUCUACCUCUUCCAUGAGUGCAUGCUGCCCUCAGUGCUACGAGCUCGUGACUUUUUCCACGACGUGAACGCAGCCCUUCAGUCUUCGCUUACCGUCUGCAUGCUUCCGUCCCACGGGCGCCUCCUGGUGGCGCCCAUCACACUGAAGCCUUACUACGCAGAAACCUUCGCCGCCUUUUGGGACUCCGUCGACGGUGUCUCCCUGCAUGCCCUCGGCAAACUCGACUUCGAGGAGCACAUUGACGCGACGUCGCCCUUGGUGGACGUCAUGCCGCAGCGUUCUUUACUGCACGACGGUGUAGUCUUUUGGGAAGGCUGCUUUGACACACUUGCGGUUGGCGAGCUCGCCAACAUCGUGGCGGCACGCACCUUUGACUUCUCGACUUCCGUCACCGGCGCUUCCGCGAGGGCUAGUCUCGACGAGACAGGGCGGUUCACUGUGGAGGGUUUUACUCUGUGGUUUCAGGUCAGCUACGGCGACGCCAUCCUCGACACCUCUCCACUCGCCCCACCAACGCACUGGAAGCAGACCACGGUUCUCCUGCCCCGUGAGUUCCGCGAUGAGAAGACCGUUUCGUUUCACCGCCUCGAUGAGCACUUAGAGCUGACCCUCCGACUGACGGCGGAAGACCUUGCGCAGCGGUACUACAAGAUCGAGUUCGAGCUCAACUAGCCAACGCAGCGAUCCCUUUUUUGCGCGCCACGGCUUAAUGAGUGCCACACGUCGCGAUUAACUUCCCGAUCUUUGCCCUACCCCUAUCUCGCACUCUUAGUAGCGCACGUCCACUGCCUGCGGAUUCGGGGUGUUUCUCCACGUAGGGUCCGUGCAACGCAGAGAGGUGCCGGAGUGCACGGGAGUGGCUUUGCUGUGGUGUCUCUAUGCCCUCCUACCACGAGGAACGCCCCUUCUUCCCGCUCCUCUGUUGUCCACCACUCCAUGGAAGGGAGCCCGGCUCAUCGCAGCUUUGCCGUAUGCACGCUGCCGCCUCUACACUACGCCCAUUUGUGUCACGGCCUCUUUGUCGUCUCCCCCUCCUUCCUCUUCUGGUACUCUUCGACCCUCAG